GCCAUGAGACUGGGUUGUCAGCCCACGUGUCAGUGUCUUCAAGGAGAGAUGGCCUGGGUUAUUCAAUGAGGCUCAGGUGAGAACAUUACGUUUAUUUUUUUUCCAUUUCAACUCACUGUUGUGAGUGUUGUCCCCUAUGCUUUUUAUUAGAUCAAGGAGUUCCGACACAUAACAACUCUUUCACUGGAAGAGACUUUGAUGCUGAAACUGGAUGGGUACACUAACACCACGUCGCUCCAGCUGAUGCGUGCCAAAGGAGGAGAUGCUGGCUCCAGGAUGCGCCCUCUUCUGAGCACAAUUGAUGAGGAUCUGUGACCUCUCGAACCUGUGAGCCAGCCAUUCCACCACUGACACCACCAGGGCAAAACACCACUUCAGAUCAGCCGAUCCAUUGCCCAAGGCAUAUGGAAAAAAAGGAUGGGAAGAGUGCUUCAGAGGAUGGCUGAUCAAACAAAACGUGGAGAAGACCGAGAGGGAGAAGUUGGCCGGUUACUUCAUUUCGCAAAAGAUACAGGACCUCGUGAAAAAGGGGAAGAAACAGUCGAAGUAAAAAUCUGAAGGAAUGGGUGUUAGAUGUUUUCCAAUUUGUAUUAAUGUUCAUGUUGUGUGUUAUAAAUGAUGUUCCUGCUUCUAA